UUUUAUUUUUUUAUUGUUUUUCAAAAAAAAAGCAGAAUGCUUCUUCUUCCCUGCUCCCUCUCCAUUUUUGCUAGGAAUUCAACCUAGCUUGCGCCACCCUGGAGGAUCAUCGGUGCCACGCACGUCCACCCCACCGCCGGUUCACGGAUCAAGACCAGGUUCAGUCGAGCAUGUCUCUGAUGUGGCCUAGUAGAGGGGCGCACGACGCAGAGGGACGUGCAACGUGCGGUGCUUGGGAACCUCCACUGUUGCGGCGGCUGAGGGUGUUAGCUGCUACGGUUUUCAUUUUUUUGUUUUAUUGAUAUUUGGGCUAGGUUUUAUGUGAGCUUGUGUUUUGUUUUGUAUUUGAGUUUUAAUAAGUUUUAGGCCAGGCAAAAAAUUAGGUUCAACAAUAAUAUUUGAAUUGAUAAAUUAGUACGGUAUAUUCUAAUUAUAUUCAAUAAUUUAAAUAAAAA